UGAAACUUUGCCACCCAAAGAAUGGUCGUUGAAAUGAUUUAUACUUAUGGGCAGUCACAGUCGUGGGGCAUAUAUGAUGAGAAAAGGCGUGCUGUCAAUAGCAGUCGCUUGGCUGCAGACUACAUUGACCGCUGCAACAACCUGGUAGAGCAAUUACAGAAGGCUCUUGACAAGCUACCUAAAGGAGAAACAGCAGAAGAAACCAUUGAUCAUGUAAAUGCCCAAUAUCAUUAUGAUCUUAGAAACACGAGAACAAGCUCAAUAGACAGCGAAUAUCUGUCAUAUCUAACAUACCCUUGAAUUUUCUCUGCAUAUUUAGAGCCAGCAAUUCUCAUUACUUCAUCAAAAAGCACAAUUUCAAGAGCUGGACUACGAAGGAAAACGCGAAUUCAGAGAAUUUAGCAGAGAGGUAUAAUUACUAUUGUUAAGCUUAAAAUGCCCCCAAGAUUCAUAGUUCACAUACCCGAACCUUUCUGAAAUUUUGUCUAAAUAUAUUAAUAGCUAAACUGCAUUCGGAAAAAAAUGCCAAGAAGUGACAGCAGAAAAGCUGGACGUGAUCUCCUGAAAGAUGUUUGUAACCCCACAAGUCAAGACAGUUUGAAGAAUUCUCUGGAGCUUGAAUUAAAAGUAAGAUCUUUUAGCUCCUUUCAUUUGAGCACUAGUCUAUCUUAAUUUAGACUAACGGGAUGAUGUUUGGAAAUCAACUAGGUUCUUAAGAAGCUAACCAGAAAACUUCAAAAAGACUGGGAAGAAGAACUGCAAAUAAAGCAAUAUGCAAAGAAUAUAUAUAAAGAUUUCAAACAAAAGGUGAACCAUCUAGAGAAGAAAAAGGAACACCUUUCCGGACAAUGGGACAAAGAAAAAAAUAUCAUGCUCGAGACAAAGAAAACACAUGAUACGAAGACGCAUGAUACGAAGACGCAUGAUAGGAAUACGCAUGAUCGGAAGAUAGGUACAUAUCCUGAGGCUUAUUAUAUAAAGAUGGUGAAUGAUAACUUACCAUGAUGGUUUGUAACGUACUGAUUUCGGUCUUGGAGUCUUUUAACUUUUUCCAAAACCUUUCACCAAAAUUACUCCUGCAUAGUUUCACCACAACAUGUACGUAUCCAAGAAUUGUCUCAAAUCUGAAAAGAGAAAUAUAAGGAAACGAUGUUGUCACAGCUUGUAGCUUGGAUUAAAAAACUGUUCAUCAAGAUUUGAACGAAAAAAGGUGGCAAAAGACAAUCACAGCUUGUAGCUUGGAUUAAAAAAUUGUUCAUCAAGAUUUGAACGAAAAAGGUGGCAAAAGACAAUUAAAUUACAUCAACUAUAAAAUCUGAAGUGAAAUUAUACCAAAGCAACUACAACUGAAAUAUAAUGUCAAGGCACAAAGCUGAUAAAUUUGGAGAAGCACAUCAUCAGAGUUAGCAGAGUGAUCCCAGACCACCUAAUUAACCAUGUCGACAUAAAAUUAGACUUGAGUCCUUGAGAGAUGUGAAUUCAUUGAGGAACAAACGAGGGUGCACAGCACAGCACAGCAAAAGAUUUUUAUAAAUGCAUUGAUGGUCCUUCAACAUACAAAAAGACUUAAGACUGUUCAGCUACUUGGUCAUCAAGUGUUUAUACUAAAGGAAAAGGCUUCAUGAUAAGAGAACUUAAUUUUCCGAAUUAGGACCCUUAAUAGUGAAACUCGCUAAAAAAAAAGAACAACACAUCCAAGCCAAAACCCUUUUAGCUUCAAAUUAAAGUAUUGAGAUAAAAUUGGUGAAGUUAAAACAAGCCAAAAUGGAUAAUUUAAUUAAAUACAUACAAACCUAAUCAAUGAUCCAGUGACAAAACGUAAUAGAAUAAUGUAACAAAGGAGAAAAAGACAAUUAGUACAAGUGUCUUUUUUCCAAGAACGUAAACUUCCACGAAACAAUAGAAGUAUAGAACAAUCACGAUCACUUGUUCUCGAAGCUUGCUUGACCCAAAACAUUUCAAGUCAUUUCAUAUUAUAAAACAAUAAUAUGAAGAACUUAAAACGAACGAACGUCAUAAAUAGCACAGAACAAGCUUUAGCCUCAAAGUCACUAACCUUUUGAAUGGCAUCAUCAUCAUCAUCUUCUUCAGUCAAAUUCAUAGAAAAAGCCCUUCUUGCCACCGGUUCCUUUGCUCUGUCCUACACCGAUCCUGAUCAGAAAUGGCUAAUCAGAAAGCAUCUGACUUCAUUCCUCCAAGACUAUCCAAAUUUCGAGCUCUCAACUGAUACUUUCAAUCACAACAACGGAGCCAAAGUUCAACUCUUUUGCCUUGAAGGAUCUCUACGUACUCGAAGCUCCCCAAUACAACUCCCAACCGUGC
rnacentral:lncRNA from 1 species